rnacentral:tRNA from 1 species
CGCCAGAUAGCUCAGUUGGAAGAGCACCUGACCAGAGAUUCAGGGGGCCCCUGUUCAAAUCCGGGUCUGAUAC